CUGAUAUCACAUAACCAGGAAUUGAGUGCUUGGUAUCUGAUGCCAAUUUCUGCACUGCAUGAUCUUCUCAUUGAUACUAGAGUGAAUGCAACAUAGGUAGGCAAGCACAUCUUUUGCAUAAAGCCAUCUAUUAAAAAUAUGGACAGGCCUUUUGGGUUAUUUGCUGAUUUGGGUUGUCAUGCACUGUGCCACUCUGUAUUUUGCAGAUAAUGAAAGCUGAGAGCACCCUCUGUCUUUGUAAGCAUCUGUUUGUGUGCUAUGUGGUCAGGAGAAGAACAAGGAUCGAGAGCGGAGUGUCGAGAUCCGAUGAACUUGACCUUAUAGUGACUGAGCAUCUGAGACGUGGAAGAAAUACUGUUAUUACAUUGAAGUAACAGCCUGGGGAAAAGCAACAACAAACCACUUCACUCCUCUGGGUGGAAACAUGCAAUUGUACCAAGAAGGACAAGGAAAAAACUUCUCAUACAUAGAGAAAGAAGUUGGAAUAAGGGAGUGAAAGCAGACAGGCUACUUGGGCAUCUGACGCAAGAGAUGUGAGAAAGUAGCUCAG
rnacentral:lncRNA from 1 species